rnacentral:rRNA from 1 species
AUUGAACGCUGGCGGCAAGCCUAACACAUGCAAGUCGAACGAGUGGCGGACGGGUGAGUAAUGUCUGGGAAACUGCCUGAUGGAGGGGGAUAACUACUGGAAACGGUAGCUAAUACCGCAUACCAUCGGAUUUGCCCAGAUGGGAUUAGCUAUUAGGUGGGGUAAAGGCUCACCUAGGCGACGAUCCCUAGCUGGGCUGAGAGGAUGACCAGCCACACUGGAACGGAGACACGGUCCAGAUUCCUACGGGAGGCAGCAGGGGGGAAUAUUGCAAAAUGGGCGCAAGCCUGAUGCAGCCAGGCCGCGUGUAUGAAGAAGGCCUUCGGGUGGUAAAGUACUUUCAGCGGGGAGGCGGUACCCGCAGAAGAAGCACCGGCUAACUCCGUGCCAGCAGCCGCGGUAAUUC